GAUGGCUUAGGACCUCCACACAGAACCUUCAGAAAAGCUUCCACGCUGAGCCUCUUGAGAAGUCAAAAAUCUCUAAUCACCACAGAGAAGACAAAAAUUAAGCCACAGAUAUAAUUCACAGCUGUUUGAAGGCAUCCUCAACACAUUUCAUAAUUCAUAACACAGGUUUCACUAAUCUGAAAAAAUCAUGGUAAAAUCAAUGGAAGAGUCAAACAGAAAAAUGAGCAAUGUCAUGACUUUGUCAAAAGAAUCCUGCACUCCCGCAUUAACCAUGCCAUGUGACCCCAGGAGGAAGGCCCCUCCUCAGAAGGAAGAUGAAAAAGUAAAGCCAUUUGAGUGUGCAACUCUUCAUCCAGAAGUCUUCCCUCUACGGUUUCUGAAGGUCUUCAGCAAUAAACGAGAAAUGUCGCAGCCAUCAGCGAUUUCUGGCCUCCAAUGUGAAUGAGGGCCCCCCAACUGAGCCAGGAGUGCACGCCUCCACCCCCAAGGUCAUUGCUAAGGAGUUAGAGGGAUGCAAGAAGCAAGGUGAAAAAGGAAGCAGGUUGGUCCCAGAGAGCUGAGGUGUGUGUGAAAGCAAUGAAUUCAGUGAAUGCUAAAUUCCUUAACUUGAUACCUGACCUUUGAUGUUCAGACUGCCUGCUCCCUUUGUUGCAAAGGUGAAUAGCCUGACUUUCCCCUGCCUCCUUGGAGCAGUCUCCUCAGAGCUACUGAGAUGCUGGGCUCCUGGGCUCAGAGUCCUAAACAUUCUCACCGAAUAAAAUAACUACUUUCAGGUUGUGACUAUAUUUUUUAGUCAAUAACUAUGUGUAUUAAAUAUCUUACAUGUAAAACUAGAUUUCGGUAGAUACACACACAAAUUUCUUCUUUCACUCUAUGCAAACAGAGAUGGCAAAAGUAACUGGUUUGAUUGAUAUAUCUGUAGGUUUUAUUACUCCAAAAAUUAUCAUAAGAGCUACAUGGAAAGGUUUUCUCCAAUCAAAAAAUUUCACUUAUAUCAGAUUUAAUUUUAUGUAGGUAAGAAUAGUAGUUACAAAUAUUUCACAGAUUCAUCCUUUGUCUUGCCAACUUUGACAUGUUUUUACCUUCAGGAGAAAUACUGAUCAGAUUCUUACUACUCGAUGUCAUUGGUUAUCAUAAUAAAUUAACCAUGAGUACUUCAUCAGCAGAUACUUGAAAGCUUGUUAUAAGCUAUAAAUUGG
rnacentral:lncRNA from 1 species